CUCCGGCCCUCCUCGGUCCUCACCUGUGCUCUUAAACCUUCCCCAUUCAUGAAGAACAACAAAUUUCCAUACCCACAUGAUUGUCCACGGAAUUUCUCGCCGUUUCGAAAACCCUAAUCCACAUUCUCAAUCAUAAUCUCGCUUAUUCUCUUCUUCAUCUUCAGCUUCAAAACUCAAAGAAGAGUGUUGUUUCAAACCAUCUCUUAAUUGAAGAGUAUUGAUCCAAUUGUUAAGUCCGUUGAUGAUGGAAAUGACGGGGGGAUCAAUUUCGAAGAGAAGAGAAUGCAAUUGACAGAUUAUGUACUUGGAAACCGUUGAGUUAUGCUGAGAGGAAGAUUUAGUUGAUAAAUGUCAAAUUCAUUUGGUGAGUAGAAACCAGCACUGCUUUCCGUCGAAGAAGACACAAGAAGAGUGGAUUGCUACACAAGACAUUGAGUAGAAACCAGCACUGCUUUCCGUCGAAGAAGACACAAGAAGAGUGGAUUGCUACCCUAAGGUUUAACUUACAAGCCAGGCCCAAAAAAUGUAGUGGUAUAAAGGACUAAUCUGAUGUAUGGAAGCUGGACCUGCAUGGUUUGGCAUGUUUCUGGAGCUGUUAACGCCUUAAAGGAGCAUCUUUGAAGGAUGGAGACUUCAAUCUCACGACAUCAUUCAAUAUUUCCAAAUGGAUUGGUUGACCCGAAACCUGGAUUUUCGAUUGAUUCUGUUAGUCGCUUCAGCAUGAAGGGAAAGACUGGCUGAGCAGGAAAUAACUUAGAAAAGCGCAGAAGUAUUACAUAUUACUUCUGCGCAGGAGUAUAAUUUAUAACAGGAAAGUGGGUGCUGUACAGUUUGCAGACAUUAUCUGGGCCUGAGUUUCUUCCGUGCAUUUAGCAGCCCCUCAAAGAUGCAGAUACUUCUCAGUGUCCAACGGAUGUUUCUCGAGUUCGCAAAUCUCAUCGAGCCCCAGGGUGUUUUUCAUGAUUCUCCAUAAUAGAAGCUCCAGAAUGGUACUACCAGCUCAUAUUCUGCACCCUAGGCUCCUUUUCCGUUUAGUCGCUGUCUGCUUCAUCUAUCCAUCCUUCUGUGAAGCAAAUGAUCAUAGUGACCUUCAGAUAUUAAUUGCUCUCAAAGAUUCUCUCGUCAUAAAAAGAGAUCUCCUUCCGAGCUGGUGCAACACAGAAGUUCACCAUGUAAUUGGUCUGGUAUAAGAUGCGUCGGUUCCAAAUUUCACGAGGUACAGUUUCCGUUUCCAAGCCACCUUGGGCGCUUAGAGCACUGAACCGUCUUUACGUCAACUAUUGUUCCCUCGCAGGCACUCUUCCUGCAAAUAUAUGGAAUUUGAAGAAUUUAGAGCCUUGAAAUGCUCAGGGAACUAAUACCUGAUAAGAAUAGGUUUACUGGCAGCUUACCUUCCACGGUUGGAGAACUUGGAAACCUCAUUGAACUGUCGGUACACGGCAACUCAUUUUCUAGGAAUCUUCCUCCAGGGCUUAAGAAUCUUCAGAAGUUGGUGUCAGUAGACCUGAUCAUGGACCUCUUCUCUGGGAAUCUGCCUCCAAGCAUUGGAAAUCUUAAAAGGCUUAUAUACUUGGAUGCUAGUCGUAACAAAUUCACUGGAAUAAUACCUCAAGAGCUUUGAAAUUUGUUACAACUCAGGUAACUCAACCUUUCGUGGAACUCACUGGAAGGACUUAUACCUUAGGAAGUAGGAAAAAAUUUCUGUCCAAUCUCUGAUAGUGGGAACAAUCUGAUAUUGGGAACAAUAAUAUCCUUUGAGAACUAACAACCAUAGGAAAUUGGGAAACUGCAAGAAGCUUAAGAUUCUCAAUGUCUAUUUCAAUUGUCUUUCUGGUCCUUUACCAUUAGAUGAGAACACCUCAGUAGUUGUAUGUAUUAUUGAAAACUUAAAAAAAUGUAGUAGUGAUUUCUCAACACAUUGUUUUCUUUUUGAAGCAUUCAACACAUCGUUUGGUAUGUGCA